rnacentral:rRNA from 1 species
UCUUUUAGACAUUGGGUAGGGGAGCGUUCUGUAAGCCGUUGAAGGUGAAUCGUAAGGUUUGCUGGAGGUAUCAGAAGUGCGAAUGCUGACAUGAGUAACGACAAAGGGGGUGAAAAACCUCCUCGCCGGAAGACCAAGGGUUCCUGUCCAACGUUAAUCGGGGCAGGGUGAGUCGACCCCUAAGGUGAGGCCGAAAGGCGUAAUCGAUGGGAAACGGGUUAAUAUUCCCGUACUUCUGACUAUUGCGAUGGGGGGACGGAGAAGGCUAGGUGGGCCAGGCGACGGUUGUCCUGGUUCAAGUGCGUAGGCUUGAGAGUUAGGUAAAUCCGGCUCUCUCUAAGGCUGAGACACGACGUCGAGCUACUACGGUAGUGAAGUCAUUGAUGCCAUGCUUCCAGGAAAAGCCUCUAAGCUUCAGAUAGUCAGGAAUCGUACCCCAAACCGACACAGGUGGUCGGGUAGAGAAUACCAAGGCGCUUGAGAGAACUCGGGUGAAGGAACUAGGCAAAAUGGUACCGUAACUUCGGGAGAAGGUACGCUCUUGAUGGUGAAGUCCCUCGCGGAUGGAGCUGACGAGAGUCGCAGAUACCAGGUGGCUGCAACUGUUUAUUAAAAACACAGCACUGUGCAAAAUCGCAAGAUGACGUAUACGGUGUGACGCCUGCCCGGUGCCGGA